AACGCGAAGAACCUUACCUAGGCUUGACGUAGUGGUAGUAGUGAAGUGAAAGCGGAACGACCCUUCGGGGAGCCAUUACAGGUGCUGCAUGGCUGUCGUCAGCUCGUGUCGUGAGAUGUUGGGUUAAGUCCCGCAACGAGCGCAACCCUCGUCGCUAGUUACACGUGUCUAGCGAGACCGCCGAUAUCAAAUCGGAGGAAGGUGGGGAUGACGUCAAGUCAGCAUGGCCUUUAUGCCUAGGGCGACACACACGCUACAAUGGCUGGUACAAUGAGCAGCGAACGGGUGACCUGGAGCGAAUCUCCUCAAAGCCCGUCGUAGUUCAGAUUGUAGGCUGCAACCCGCCUACCGGAAGCGGGAGAUGCUAGUAAACGCAGGUCAACCAUACGGCGUUAAAUACGUUCCCGGGUCUUGUACACACCG
rnacentral:rRNA from 1 species